AAUAAAGCCCAAGUGCGCACGAGAGCAACUUCGCCAUUCACAGUUUAAGAUAUCAAAACUUCAUCGCGGAGCACGUGCAUUGCCGGAGACAAUGCCUGCUGAUAGUUAGGCGCACAUAACGCUAGCAGAGCGUGAAUCUGUCGGCGGCAAACGGUAUUUGAGCACUGUUCGCUUUCACAACCCAUGAUCCAAAACAUGGAAACUCGUCACCGCGGCGCCUGCGAAAGCGCAUACGCACGAGAGCGAGGCCAUUACAAGGACCGAGAAAUUAUACAUGCUAGCAACGAGAAAACUUGAAAAGCAGCUAGGAUAUGUUUAUAUAACGUUAUAUCGGCGCGGCCCAAAAUAUCUGUCCUGAACGCUGUCCGUCCACUUCACGUGAUAUAGCUUCCCCGGCGUGAAGGCCUUAACCGAAGAUGGGUGAAAGCAAGAAAUGUCUUCAACUGGAACGAUGUGCCGCUCGUUGUCGUCUGAGAACUUCGCAUUAGCGUACACGACGUUGCUAGCAGCCAUACGACAAAAAAAAAGAAAAGCUACAAAGCCACCCCAUAGAGAAAAAAAAAAUGCCACAUCCACCGCACAUCUCAAUUCCGAAACUACUGAACAUGCAGGAAAUAAUUGUGUGGUCCCUAAAUUGGUGCCACAAAGCCAAUGCUGAGCAUGCGCAGUUUCGGAUCUGUCGUUUCAAGAGCGACUUUAACCGCAAAUAAUUCCUUAUGUUAAAAUGUAAAAAAAAACACGUCUAAACAAAAACGCAAAAGUAAAUGAUUUGACUGCAGCAAAUUAUUUUAGUCGCAUCAUAAAACUGCUCCGCCAUAAACAGCACAUGUUUGGCACAAGCGAAGCCGCCGCUGGAAACAAUGAGCACGUGAGCGAGGAUAUAGUGCCUAGAAUGUACUCAUUCUUUCUAUAUAGCAUUCUUUCUAUGUACAAAGUGGCAAAGUUAUUUUUUUUCGCUCGAUAACGUGCGUAGGCUACAGAGCCAGCAGGUGCUUCAGAAAGCUUGGCCCAGGUUUCAGGAAUACAAAUUGAGUCGAACGGAUGGGGAUCUUUAACAGCAAUACAACCCAUCUGCUGCUGCGGGCAUGAGUUCUCACAUGGCUCUUCUGUUGCUGGCGGCUCGUCGGAGACAUCGUCGAGCGUGCUAGACGCUCCAUCGCUGACGCCUGCACCGGCACUGCGCUUUUGCCGUUUAGCGGCAGACCACACACGCUGGAGUCAACUUGCGGUCCUGUCUUCUGAUCAGCCGCUCCCACUCCGCAAGCCGUGUUGGGUCCGAGGGCACACCGAACAUGGAAGCUUUGUCCGGAUUCGACCGGUAGCCACUACGACAGAGCGGCACGAAACACGUUUUUUCCCGGCUUUGAUGCUUCGAGUUUAGCAUCAUUAGUCGCUGUGGUCUUCCCUCACACGGAACAGCACGGAGAAAAACGCAGGAAAAAGCGCAGAUCCGACUAAAAUACUAUAAUACACACCGCACACGACCAAUGCAACUGCAGCGACUUCGGCAUGCCCGGCAGCGAUGGCACCUUUACGACGAGCAGCGCCUCUCGCGGCCAAAGUUGGAAGGCAUCGCGCGCGCUGCCACCCUCUCCCAUUGGGAGAACGCUCCGUACGACACACUGGCAGUAUAUUCUAGGCACUAUAGCGAGGACGAGCUUGGUGCGCAUUAUGGCGCGCAUGGACGAAAAAUGUUGACGAGCAGUUAGCGCAGUCUGAAUUCUUUCCGAAGCCGCACCACGCUGCUAGCACCUCCUGCUGUAUCGGCCACUGCUUAAAAAAAGAACCGGCAACUUUCGUCGGGAUCUGCAGAGAGCAACCAAAAACGUAUCGCACAGUAUACUGCCGUUAUGAACGCCUGUCUCCAGCCAGCCGCCGACACCCACAAAAAAUGCAGGUGAUUAAGGUUUUUUCGCUUCUGCUCUUGUGCUACAUCAGCGCUACAACGGCCACUCAGCAAUGUGCUACUAGCAACACGUCUGCCGUUCUGUCGAAAAGACUGAAGCUGUACCUCGAGCCUGACGCAGAAUUCAGUAUGCCGGGGUCGACGAAAUGGCGAAUGAACUCGCGUCCGUCCCUCGUGUCACAGCCUGGUGGAAACACAGCAACUGUUCCUGCAACUCCUACGGCAUCAACCGCGGAUUGCCACUCCCGUGAGACAUGCAAUUUUACCAAUGAGGACACCCUCGACCUGACGUGCUGCAGCUACCCGUGCGAUGAGCUGACGACCGGUACGUACGAUCUUGUUCGGAGCCAUGUUUUUAUUAUUUAUGGGGCAGAAGGUAGUUUUCUUGGGGGACAGUCGAGAGCGGAGGCGCAUGAGACCCCAGAUAUAAGAAAAGCAUGUACCAACUACCGAAAUUACUUAAUUCUGCUGCUGUUUCGUCACUCGGGUACGCAUUUAAUCACAAUUUGCAAAUGUUUAGCGUAGUGUUAAGCAGCACCUAAAUUUUUGUUUUGGUGUAACUGUGCAUGUCUUGGGCAGCUCUUGAACGGCUCGCAUUGAAGAGCACUCAAGUGGAGUCGCAUUUUUUGGCCUUGGUUUGUAAAUAGGGCCAGGCUUUUGUUAUUCUUGAUUAGUGCGUUUAUGUAUGUAUGCA